rnacentral:lncRNA from 1 species
GACGAGUACCCAAGGGCUUAUUUAUAGCUGAAGGGCCACAACCACCAACUACUCAGAGUUACUGCUUGCUCGUGACGAUCAGCCUGAGACACUAACAAAGUCCAGGCAGACGCUUUAACUACAUGCCCGUGACUGCACUGAGCAAAAGCGGACAAAAGUGAACAUUAUACCCGUGCAUCCCCAAGUACAAUGCAAUAAUAGCCACAGUACCCUCAACAACUGGAGACCGCAAUAGAUACUACGACUAUUUCGAUCACUUAGAUUUGUUUUUUCCAACUACAAAAUCAAACAAAGAUCAUUGAUCACAAUCAGAACUCAGACUUCUCAAAUAAAACAAGAUUUACAAGGAAAUUUGUUUGAGUACACCAACAAGUACUCGACAACAAAAUAUCACUCGAGGUCAAAAGAUCAGGGUUCCUCCAAAGAUACAAACUCAGACAUCUUGGCUGCAAUCGGCUCAGCCUCCUCAAGAUACUGCACAUAGGCAUCCUCUGUGCAGCUUUGGGCAACUCCAUCACCAGCC